GAUGAACGCUGGCGGCGUGCCUAAUACAUGCAAGUCGAGCGAACGGAUGAGAAUCUUGCUUCUCUGAUGUUAUCGGCGGACGGGUGAGUAACACGUGGAUAACCUACCUAUAAGACUGGGAUAACUUCGGGAAACCGUAGCUAAUACCGGAUAAUAUUUUGAACCGCGUGGUUCAAAAGUUAAAUACGGUCUUUCGGUCACUUAUAGAUGGAUCCGCGCUGCAUUCGCUAGUUGGUAAGGUAAAGGCUUACCAAGGCAACGAUGCAUACCCGACCUGAGAGGGUGAUCGGACACCCUGGAACUGAGACACGGUCGAGACUCCUACGGGAGGAAGCAGUAGAGAAUCUUCCGCAAUGGGGGAAAGCCUAACGGAGCACAGCCGCGUGAGUGCUGAAGGUCUUCGGAUCGUAAAACUCUGUUAUUAGGGAAGAACAUAUGUGUAAGUAACUGUGAACAUAUUGACGGUACCUAAUCAGAAAGCCACGGCUAACUCCGUG
rnacentral:rRNA from 1 species